UAUUAUUUACUUUAGAAUUUAAUUUGUUUCGAAAUAAUUCAAAUUUCAAAUAAGAUACUUAUAAGUGCUUCUCCCUGGCGGUGGACAGGCAAACUAAUAAUAGUAAUGGCGACCUACAGUGAAAACAGGUAGGAGACGAAAGAGACAGUGUUUUUUUUGUUACGUAAAGUGCGCUAGUAAUAUGAGAUUGCGAUCUUCGAAAGGAAAGAUAUAAUCCACGAAAGAAGUUGGUAUUUUUGUUAUAAAAUGAAGAUUAAAAUACAAAGCGUGUACACCUGUCAGGUAUGAUUCAACAGGUUUAUUAAUGUUUAUUAAGUGGCCGGGAUAGAGAUGUUCGAAGAUGUGACAAAUAAAAAAUUACAUUUUUCUGAAAAUUUAUGGAAAAUGUGAAAGAUCCAUUCUGUCAACAUCAAGAAUGGAAGUAGAAUUGGAAAGGCGCCCCAAAAAAGAAUUCUAUAAAAGAGAAGUAGUUUCUAAUAAAGAAAAACUACAAAAUAAAAUGACUGUUCUACAAAAAGAAAAAGAGGUUUGAUUUCUUAUAUUUCUUAUUAAACACGAGUGAAUACUAUAAUUAGUAAUAACACGUUAACGCGAAGGUUAUUAAAAAAAAGUUUUCUAUUGUUUAAGAAAUCACUUCCUUGUUAAGAAUUAUUAUGGAUUGUAACUUGUUUGAUACCAAAU